GACGAACGCGGGCGGCGUGCUUAACACAUGCAAGUCGAACGAAAAUACCAAGCUUGCUUGGUUGAUUAGUGGCGAACGGGUGAGUAACACGUGAGUAACCUGCCCCUUACUUUCUGGAUAACUGCUCGAAAGGGUAGCUAAUACGGGAUAUUCUGGCCUUCCUGCAUGGGUUGGUUGGAAAGGUUUUUUUCUGGUGAGGGAUGGGCUCGCGGCCUAUCAGCUUGUUGGUGGGGUGAUGGCCUACCAAGGCUUUGACGGGUAGCCGGCCUGAGAGGGUGGACGGUCACACUGGGACUGAGAUACGGCCCAGACUCCUACGGGAGGCAGCAGUGGGGAAUAUUGCACAAUGGGCGCAAGCCUGAUGCAGCGACGCCGCGUGAGGGAUGAAGGCCUUCGGGUUGUAAACCUCUUUCGUCAGGGAACAAGGCACUGCUUUUGGUGGUGUUGAGGGUACCUGGAUAAGAAGCGCCGGCUAACUACGUGCCAGCAGCCGCGGUAAUACGUAGGGCGCAAGCGUUGUCCGGAAUUAUUGGGCGUAAAGAGCUCGUAGGCGGCUGGUCGCGUCUGUCGUGAAAACUUCCGGCUCAACCGGGGGCUUGCGGUGGGUACGGGCCGGCUAGAGUGCGGUAGGGGUAACUGGAACUCCUGGUGUAGCGGUGGAAUGCGCAGAUAUCAGGAAGAACACCGAUGGCGAAGGCAGGUUACUGGGCCGUUACUGACGCUGAGGAGCGAAAGCGUGGGGAGCGAACAGG
rnacentral:rRNA from 1 species